CCUAUAGGUUCAUGUAUCCAUCACCACAGUCACAGUCAAAACACCGAAUAGUUCCAACAUCACCAGAAGCCCUCGUGUUGCCCUGCAUAAUUCCCUGGAGAUUGAUCCAAGCUGUUGUACGUAUCAAUAGUCUACUCAUUGGUGACUGAAAAGGAGCAUGGGAGAUAGUUGAAGACAUAUUUCUUAGUUCAAGAUAUAUUUAUGAGACCACACAAGCAAAAUUAUG